rnacentral:misc_RNA from 1 species
UCUCCGUUGGUGAACCAGCGGAGGGAUCAUUACAGGACUCGCAAGACUCCUACAACCCUGUGAACUUAACUAUAAGCACGUUGCUUCGGCAGGUGUCUCGGAGGGGGUUCUCCCUCCCCGAGACGCUAAACCCGCCGGCAGCCUACUAUACUCUGUCUCUUUGCGUUGGCAUCUCGAGUACAAUCAAACAAGUUAAAACUUUCAACAACGGAUCUCUUGGUUCUG